CGUCAGAGGUGCGGGUGUUCGGCUACGUCACUGGGGCGCUGUGGUGCCUGGAGCUGGGCAGUCUUCUCGUCAGAGUGGGGACUGGUAAGAGCGACCUCCGCGCCAGGUCCUGUGUGUUGCCGGCUGAAGAAGGAUGAUGAUUAUUCCCCACCUUCUAAGAGACAAAGACCAACGAGCCACCACAGCCACCAGUCCCAGAACCCGCCAAUGCUGGGGAACGGAAAAUGAGGGAGUUCAACUCUGGCCCUCACAAUCCUGUGGAGGAGACGAAACUCAUCUGCCUCUGUCCCUCUGGGCACGCCUCAUGCCAGGUGCAUCUGUGGACAGGGGCCAUGCUCCUGGGCUUCCAAAGUUGGAGAAAGCUGCCAGGCUCAGGUCUGAAGGCCAGAAUUCUACAGUAAGUCCUACUGAGUCAAGGUGGGAGCAGGGUCGGUGGCUUCCGAGGCUCUGCGGGAGAAUCCGUUUCCUGGCCAUAGAGGUGGCCUGCACUCCUCAGCUUGUGCUGCCUGUCUCGAAUGACUGGAGUUUCCUGCUUCUGUCACUACACCUCCCACCCUCUCCAUCACCUGCUCUGCUCUUUUAAGGAUCCGAAGAAAUGGAAUCAUCGUAUCGCUGAUCUACGUAAACAAAUUGAAGAAUUGUCUGAAAGAAAAUAUGACAUGAACUUAUGAAUUCAACAGGUGAAGAUUUACAAGUUGAUAAAUCAGCUUUGUGAGGUACAUCUUCAGUCUUAAGUCAGAUUAGAAGAUUAUGUGAGCUCGAGCUGUAAAAGCCAAAGGUCCGGUGAUGAUCCCAUACCCUUUUUUCCAGUCUCAUGUUGAAGAUUUUUAUGAAGAAGGCCUUCCCAAAGGAAUUUUUUUUUUUUUUUUUUUUUUUUUUUGAGAUGGAGUUUUCACUCUUAUCGCCCAGGCUGGGGUGCAAUGGUGCAACCUUGCUGGUCACUGCAACCUCUGCCUCCUGGGUUCAAGAAAUUCUCCUGCCUUAGCCUCCCAAGUCGCUGGGAUAACAGGUGCCUGCCACCACACCAGGCUAAUUUUUGUAUUUUUAGUGGAGAUGGGGUUUCACCAUGUUGGCUGGGCCAGUCUCGAACUCCUGACGUCAAGUGAUCUUUCCGCCUCGACUCCUGACAUCAAGUGAUCUUCCCGCCUCGGCCUCCCAGAGUGCUGACAUUACAGACGUGAACCCAUGCCUGGCCAGGAAUUUUGUUUUUUAGGAAGGCUUUCUACUAAUGGAAUUCCUGGCCUUGAGAGGAUGUUACUUCGAAGGAAAGGAUUUUUUUGUUAUUAAAAGAGCCACCUAAGCUGAAGAUUCCCUUGAGAACAAGUACUGUCCUGCGGUUUCAUGGCCUUUCUUCCAUUUGUGGUUCUUGCGAAGUGGAAUUUAAAUGACAUCUUAUCAAGAUGGAUAAACCCUAGUUUCCCAGUGCUGGAAUAUAGAAGAUGGAUGGACAAGUAAAUCCCACUCAGCACCCAUAGUCCAGGCAUGGGGACCUCAACACACCUGAGCCCCAGACAUCACCUUUCAUUCUGGACCUACCAUGAAAGACUUCUGAAUCCAGGAAGAGAAACUGACUGGGCAACAUGUUAUUCAGAUGGGGUCUUCUUAUGUUGCCCAGGCUGGUCUCAAAUUCCUAGGCUCAAGUGAUUCCACCCACCUCUGCCUCCCAAAGUGCUGGGAUUACAGGCCUGAGCCAGCGCAUCUGGCCACCUUAUUUUCUAUUACUGGCUCAAUGUAAUGGCUCCAUCUCAGGAACAGCCAAUGAAAGAGAUGCACAGGACAAGAAACAGGACCUUGCCCUGUCACUCAGGAUGGAGUUCAGUGGUCCUAUCAUGGCUCAUUAUAGCCUCAAACUCCCAGGCUCAAGCAAUCCUACCAUGUCAGCCUUCCCAGUAGCUGGGACUACAGACGGAGUUUCACUCUUGUUGCCCAGGCUGGAGUGCAAUGGCGCUAUCUCGGCUCAGCGCAACCUCCACCUGCCGGGUUCAGGCGAUUCUCCUGCCUCAGCCUCCCGAGUAGUUGGGAUUACAGGCUGGAGUACAGUGGCACAACCUCUGCUCACUGCAGCCUCCACCUGCCAGGCUCAAGCAAUUCUGCCUCAGCCUCCCGAGUAGCUGGGAUUACAGGUAAGUGCCACCACACCCAGCUGAUUUUUGUGUUUUUUGUAGAGACGAGGUUUCACCACGUUUCCCAGACUGUUCUCAAACUCCUGAGCUCAAAGCAGUCCACCCACCUUGGCCUCCCAAAGUGCUGGGAUUACAGGUGUGAGCCAUCUUGCUCAUUCUAGUUUAAACUUUUGAGUGGUUUGUGUCUCCUGAUUGGACUCCUACAAAUACAGAAUUGAUGCUAGGAAGGGUCCCAGGAGAUAGACGCACACAGAUGGGAUUUGGGAAUAGGUUUGGUUAUCCAAGGAGAAGUGCUGAGCUCCUUGCUAAUGGGAUAUGGGAUGCUGGUGAUUUCCAGGAAGUGACCUCACAAUGACUCAAGCUACCACAUACUGUUGAUUGUGAAAUGCCAGUUGAAGCAUAUGUCCUGCGAGCUUAGGGGUGCUACAAGUUGACCACUGCAGCAGUAAAGAUGACUCUGAAGAAUGGCGUGGGAUGGAUCCUUUCGAAUGCACUUGAGCAGCGGUCUCCAACCACAAGGCCACAGAGCUGGAGCUGGAUCUACCAUGAAAGACUUCUGAAUCCAGGAAGAGAGACUGACUGGGCAACAUGUUAUUCAGGAGAUGGGGUCUCACCCUGUCACCCAGGCUUGAGUACAGUAGUGCUAUCACAGCUCACUGCAGCCUUGAACUCCUGGGCUAAGGAUCCUCCUACCUGAGCCUCCUGAGUAGCUAGGACUGUAGGGUCUCCCUCUGUUGUCCAAGGCUGGAGGGUAGUAGUGCUAUCGCAGCUGACUGCAGCCUGAACCUUCCAGGCUGAAGCGAUCCUCCCAUCUCAACCUCCCACGUGGCUGAGACUACAGGUGCUUGCCACUAUGCCCAACUAAUAUUUGGAAUUUUCGUAUACGUGGAUUCCAGAGGGGUGACAGCGAAACGAAGUGACCUCACAAUGACUCAAGCUACCACUUACUGUUGAUUGUGACGAAAUGCCAGCUGAGGCACACGCCUUGGGAGCUAAGUGGUUGCUGCCCUUGACCACUAUGAAGACUGGUGUGGGAAGGGUCGCUUUGGAUGCACUUGAGCAGGGGUCCCCAACCCCUGAGCCAUGGAGCUGUAAGGAGCCACACAGCAGGAGGUGGGACCAUCCAGUUGCAGGAAAAGAAGCUUAACACGCCCACUGAUUCUACAUUAUGCUCCUACCUCCCGGCAGCCUCUCCAGGCCCAGAACUCUCUCCAGUCAGCCUCUACAGACCAAGCUCAUGACUCCCAAUGGCCUAUUUAGGCCCAUACCCUACCUCACGGCAGUCUCCGCAGAUGAGCCUACUGCCUCACAACAGCCUCCACAGGCACAGCUCCAUCGUUACAAUGGCCUCUUUAGACCCAGCUCCUGCCUCCCAGCCUUCUCUCCAGGCCCUGAACUUUCUCCGGUCUCCCUCUGUUGUCCAAGGCUGGAGGGUAGUAGUGCUAUCGCAGCUGACUGCAGCCUGAACCUUCCAGGCUGAAGCGAUCCUCCCAUCUCAACCUCCCACGUGGCUGAGACUACAGGUGCUUGCCACUAUGCCCAACUAAUAUUUGGAAUUUUCGUAUACGUGGAUUCCAGAGGGGUGACAGCGAAACGUGAGUAAGCAUGGAUUUUGGUAUAUGCAGAGAUGGGGGGCUGGAACUAAUUCUGUAUACUGAGGGACGGCGACUGUAUAUGUUUUUACAGUUACGCUGUAGGAUACAUACUGUUGCAUAGCCUUGAAAAUAAUAAUUUUUAAUUGAGUGGAAUAAUAAUAAUAUUGCUAAAAGUAGCAGCUGGCCAGGUGUGGUGGCUCACACUGGUAAUCGCAACACUUUGGGAGGCUGAGGCAGGAGGAUGGCUUGAGGCCAAGAGUUUGCGAUAGGCCUUGGAAACAAAGGGGGAGUCACCAUCCCUACAGAAAAAUACAUGAAUUAGCCUAGUGUGGUGGCAUGUUCCUGUAGUCCCAGCUACUUGGGAGGCUGAGGUGGGAGGAUCACUUGAGCCCAGGGAGGCUGAGACUGCAGUGAGUCAUGAUCAGGCCUCUGCACUCCAGCCUGGGUGACAGAGUGAGACCCUGUCUCAAAACAACAAAAAAGUAGCAGCUAACAUCAACUGACCUUUUAUACCAGGUGCCUAUUGAUAUCAUAGUUUAAUUUCUUAGAACUGUUUCUUAUUUCACUUACCAACUCUGUCUUCAGUUACUCCCAGAUUUUUACUGUGUUUGUACAGAUGACCUUUUGUUUAGAUUGAAUUGUCUCCCCAGAAGUAAGAUUACUGUGAGUCAUGGUGAAUGGACAUUCUCAUUACCCUUGAUGUAAAUUGACAGGGUUUUGGGUGCCUCCCAGCUAUAAUCUUAGCACUUCGGGAGGCUAAGAGAGGAGGAUUGCUUGAGGCCAAGAGUUGGAGGAGGCAGUAUGGCAGUAUGGUGAGACCGUGUCUCCAUUAUUUUAAAAAAUUGACAGGCUUUACCCGGGAAGGCUUAUACACAAUUUAAACACCCCUCAUAGUAUAAGAAAGUGCCCAUUUCACUGCACCUUUGCCAGCAACAGGGUAUUAUAAUUUAGUAAGUCAUUUUUUGUUUGAUUAUUUUAAAUAGAUAAAAGACCUCAUGUUACUUUACUUGUCACAUUUCAACAUCUUUCCUUAGCUUAUUAGCUCUAUCUCUUUUCUGUCUGUAAAUGGUUGUUGUUGUUUUGUUCUUUGAGACAGGGUCUUGCUCUGUCACCAGGCUGGACUGUAGUGGCAUAAUCAUGCCUCGCUGCAGCCUUGACCUCCCAGGCUCAAACUUCAGCAUUCCGAGUAGCUGGGACUACAAGUGUGCACCACCACUCCCAGCUAACCUUUGUCUUUUUUUGGAUAGAGACAGGGUCUCACUGUGUUGUCCAGACCGGUCUCUAGCUCCUGGCCUUAAGCAAUCCUCCUGCAUUAGCUUCUCAAAUUGCUGGAAUUUCAGGCAUGAGCCACCAUGCCUGGCCUGGGCUAGUCCUGUAUUCUCUAGAGUUCUCUUUACUUUGUGCUAGCCAAUCUCUCAUUAUGCUGUUCACCUGUUACAAUGAAUAAUUCUCCGUAUUAAAUUUUACCACUUUAAACUUUUGAGUGGUUUAUGCUUCCUGAUUGGACUCUGACUAAUAUGUUAGGAAGGGUCCCAGGAGAUAAACCCACACAGAUGGGAUUUGGGCAUAGGUUUGGUUUCCCAGGGGGCAGUGCUGAGCUCUUUGCCAGUGGGAAAUGGGAUGCUGGUGAUUUCCAGGAAGUGACCUCACAAUGACUCAAGCUACCACUUACUGUUGAUUGUGACGAAAUGCCAGCUGAGGCACACGCCUUGGGAGCUAAGUGGUUGCUGCCCUUGACCACUAUGAAGACUGGUGUGGGAAGGGUCGCUUUGGAUGCACUUGAGCAGGGGUCCCCAACCCCUGAGCCAUGGAGCCGUAAGGAGCCACACAGCAGGAGGUGGGACCAUCCAGUUGCAGGAAAAGAAGCUUAACACGCCCACUGAUUCUACAUUAUGCUCCUACCUCCCGGCAGCCUCUCCAGGCCCAGAACUCUCUCCAGUCAGCCUCUACAGACCAAGCUCAUGACUCACAAUGGCCUAUUUAGGCCCAUACCCUACCUCACGGCAGUCUCCGCAGAUGAGCCUACUGCCUCACAACAGCCUCCACAGGCACAGCUCCUCCUGCCUCCCAGUGGCCUCUUUUGGCCCAGCCCAGCUCAUGCCUCCCGGCGGCCUUCCCAGGCCCCGCUUUUGACUUUCGGUGGCCUCUGCAGGCCUUGACAAGGCCCGGCCUCCUGCCUCCCGAAGACCUGCACAGGCCCAGCCUCUGCCUCACAGCGGACUCUCCACGCCCAGCUAGCUCUCGCCUCACUGCGGCCUCCCGAGUCCAAAGCUCCUGCCUCUCGGCCGCUUCGGCAGGCCCAGCUCCCGCCUGCCAGUGGCCUCUUCAGGCCCGUGGUGCUCAUUCCUCACAACAGCCUUUCCAGGCCCCGUUUUUCCCUUGCGGCGGCCUCUCCGGGCCGAGAACAUCCUCAAGUCGGCCUCUCCAGACCCACUUGCACCCUCCGGGCGUCCUCUCCGGGCCCAGCUCCUCUUCCUGGCUGCAUCUCCAGGCCCGACUCCUGCCUCUCAACGACCUCUUUGGACUCAUUGGCUACCCAUCUCCUGGCGGCCUUGGUCGGCCAACAGCUUCCUCAAGCCAAGCUCCCCAGGCCCAGGUCAGGCCUCACGGUGGCCUCUCCAGGAUGAACUGCUGCCCUCCGAUGGCAUCUGCAGGCCCCAAAUGGUCUCCGGUCGGUGGGCUCCUCCACGCCAAGCUUGGGCCUCCCGGCGACCUCUGCAGGCCCAAGUUGUCCUGAAGUCGGCAUCUCCCGGCCCUGCCUCCCAGCAAGUAAGCAAGCUCUUUUGGCUCAACUCCUGCCCAGCUCCCAACCGCCUUUGUAGGCCCCGAACUUUCUCCAGCCAAGUUCUUCGGGCCUCAUUCCAGCCGCCUGGUGGCCUGUACGGGCCCGGCACUGGUUGGAGAACAGCCUCUGCAGGCCCCGCUCUUGCCUCCCAGGGGCCUCUCCAGGCCCACCUCUUGCCCCCACGGCGGCCUCCCGGGGCCAAGUCCCUGCCUGCCUCCCAGCAGCCCGCGUGCGGCCCAGCUCCUCCCUCACGGUGGCCUGUUGAUGCCCAACUCAUGCCUCUGGCACCCUGCCCAGAGGCAUGAGCCCCUGCCUCACACUAGCUCCUCCCACGCUGAGAGAGGUCAGUGUGAGCCCUUGCCUCACUCCGGCCCCUCCCACGCUGAGAGAGGUCAGGGUGAGCCCUUGCCUCACACCGGCCCCUCCCAGGCUGACAGAGGUCAGCCUGAGCCCCUUGCCCCACACCGGCCCCUCCCAGGCUGACAGAGGUCAGCCUGAGCCCCUUGCCCCACUCCGGCCCCUCCCAGGCUGACAGAGGUCAGCCUGAGCCCCUUGCCUCAUACCGGCCCCUCCCAGGCUGACAGAGGUCAGCCUGAGCCCCUAGCCUCACACCGGCCCCUCCCAUGCUGACAGAGGUCAGCGGGAGCCCCUUGCCUCACACCGGCCCCUCCCACGCUGAGAGAGGUCAGGGUGAGCCCUUGCCUCACACCGGCCCCUCCCACGCUGAGAGAGGUCAGCCUGAGCCCCUUGCCUCACACCGGCCCCUCCCAGGCUGACAGAGGUCAGCCUGAGCCCCUUGCCCCACACCGGCCCCUCCCACACUGACAGAGGUCAGCCUGAGCCCCUUGCCCCACUCCGGCCCCUCCCAGGCUGACAGAGGUCAGCCUGAGCCCCUUGCCUCAUACCGGCCCCUCCCAGGCUGACAGAGGUCAGCCUGAGCCCCUAGCCUCACACCAGCCCCUCCCAUGCUGACAGAGGUCAGCGGGAGCCCCUUGCCUCACACCGGCCCCUCCCAGGCUGACAGAGGUCAGCCUGAGCCCCUAGCCUCACACCGGCCCCUCCCAGGCUGACAGAGGUCAGCGGGAGCCCCUUGCCUCACACCGGCCCCUCCCAUGCUGAGAGAGGUCAGUGUGAGCCCUUGCCUCACACCGGCCCCUCCCACGCUGAGAGAGGUCAGUGUGAGUCCCUUGCCUCACACCGGUCCCUCCCACGCUGAGAGACGUCAGUGUGAGCCCUUGCCUCACACCGGCCCCUCCCACGCUGAGAGAGGUCAGUGUGAGCCCUUGCCUCACACCGGCCCCUCCCACGCUGAGAGACGUCAGUGUGAGCCCUUGCCUCACACCGGCCCCUCCCACGCUGACAGAGGUCAACCGGAGCCCCUUGCCUCACACCGGCCCCUCCCACGCUGAGAGAGGUCAUUGUGAGCCCUUGCCUCACACCGGCCCCUCCCACGCUGAGAGAGGUCAGCGUGAGCCCCUUGCCUCACACCGGCCCCUCCCACGCUGAGAGAGGUCAGUGUGAGCCCUUGCCUCACACCGGCCCCUCCCACGCUGAGAGAGGUCAGUGUGAGCCCCUUGCCUCACACCGGCCCCUCCCACGCUGAGAGAGGUCAGUGUGAGCCCUUGCCUCACACCAGCCCCUCCCACGCUGAGAGAGGUCAGUGUGAGCCCCUGCCUCAGCAGGCCACCAUGAGGGAGGAGCAGGGUCGCACGCGGCCUGUUGGGAGGCAGGCAGGGACUUGGGCCUGGGCGGUCGCGGUGGGGCGAGAGCUGGGCCUGGAGACACCCCUGGGAGGCAACAGCGGGGCCUGCAGACUUUCUUCUCCAGCCGGAGCUGGGACUGUUCAGGCUACUGGAGGCGGGAUGUGGGCCUGAGCCCUUGGUUGCAGAAACUUCGGGGUCUACAAACGCCGGCGGGAGCUGAGCCAAAAGAGCUUGUUUGCUGGGAGGCUGGAUCUGGGCUGGGAGAUGCAGCCAGGAGGAACACCUGUGCCUGCAGAGGCCGCCAUGCGGGAGGCAGAGGCCGGGCCUCCUCAAGUCGGCCUCUCCAGACCCACUUGCAGCCUCCCGGCAUCCUCUCCGGGCCCAGCUCUUCCUCCCAGCUGCGUCUCCAGGCCCGACUCUGGCCUCCCAACAACGUCUUUGGACUCAGCUCCUGCCCAGCUCCCAGCGGCCCUGGUAGGCCCACAACUUCCCGAAGCCAAGCUCCCCAGGCCUAGCUCAGGCCUCACGGUGGCCUCUCCAGGCUCAGGUCCUGCCCUCCGAUGGCAUCUGCAGGCCCUAAACGGCCUCCGGUCGGUGGGCUCCUCUAGGCCCAGCUUGGGCCUCCCGGCGGCCUCUGCAGGCCCAAAUCGUCCUGAAGUCGGCCUGGAAUUGGGCCUGGAAGAGCAGCAAGUCGGCCUCCCCGGACCCAGCUCCGUCCUCUCGGCGGCCUCUCCAGGUGCAAAACUUCCUCGAGUCAGCCUCUCCAGGCCCACCUCCUCCUGCCUCCCAGUGGCCUCUUUCAGCCCAGCCCAGCUUAUGGCUCUCGGCGGCCUUCCCAGGCCCCGCUUUUGACUUUUGGCGGCGUCUUCAGGCCCAGAACUUGACCUCCAGUGGGCCUUUGCAGGCCCAGCCUCCUGCCUCUCGAAGGCCUGCACGGGCCCGGCCUCGGCCUCGGCCUCACAGCGGACUCUCCACGCCCAGCUAGCUCUCGCCUCACUGCGGCCUCCCCAGUCCAAAGCUCCUGCCUUUCGGCCACUUUGGCAGGUCCAGCUCCUGCCUGCCAGUGGCCUCUUUAGGCCCAGCUCAUUCCUCACAACGGCCUUCCCAGGCCCCGUUUUUCCCUUCCGGCAGCCUCUUGGCCUCUAAUUUGUUUAUCUUUCAUGUAUAUAUCCCAAAAUAUGGAAUUUUGGAAUAUUUCCACCAUUAUAUAAGUAUUUUGGUAGGUAAUUUAUUUGGAGUGAGUUUCUGCACCAUGCCCGAAUUUUUUAUUUUAUUUUCCAUAUUAUUUGGUAUUAAACAGGUUUAAUGAU